rnacentral:rRNA from 1 species
AUGUGUAUGUCAAAAUACCAAGGAGGAAUGGGCUUCUGAGAUAUACAUUGCUUCAACCUAGCUUUCUUAACCAAACAAGUGUGGCGUUUGCUUGAUAAUCCUAAUUCCCUAUGUGCCACAUCUUGAGAACUAAAUAUUUUCUGAAUGGGCUUAAUAAAUGCAAGUCUAAAAAUAGAUUAUUCCUUUACUUGGCAAAGAUUAUGGCAGGAGUUGAUUCUCUCAAACAUGGUUAUAUUUGGAGAGUUGGAAAUAGACAAAAUAUUAAUUUUUGUUGAGAUGCAUGGAUCCCGAACUAUGCAAAUAGGAAAAUUAUUACUCCUAGAAGAGAGCAUCUUCUGUCAAAAGUUGCUGAUCUUAUCGAUCCAGUCACCAAUUUUUGGGAUGAAGAUUUAG